CUGCAAUCAGAGAGGGAAUGACUCUAGCAGAAAAUACCAAAAGGAGGCAAAUCCUUUCAAGAAGAUGCAAAGUUUGUACCACAGGAGAGAAGGUUUCUGAAUGGGAGAAGAAUGCCUUGUGUCUUUUUCUAUCUUUUUUUCCCUCAAGAAUUAUGGAUCAAAGAUAUCCCC